rnacentral:rRNA from 1 species
GAUGAACGCUGGCGGCGUGCCUAAUACAUGCAAGUCGAGCGAACGGACGAGAAGCUUGCUUCUCUGAUGUAGCGGCGGACGGGUGAGUAACACGUGGAUAACCUACCUAUAAGACUGGGAUAACUUCGGGAAACCGGAGCUAAUACCGGAUAAUAUUUUGAACCGCAUGGUUCAAAAGUGAAAGACGGUCUUGCUGUCACUUAUAGAUGGAUCCGCGCUGCAUUAGCUAGUUGGUAAGGUAACGGCUUACCAAGGCAACGAUGCAUAGCCGACCUGAGAGGGUGAUCGGCCACACUGGAACUGAGACACGGUCCAGACUCCUACGGGAGGCAGCAGUAGGGAAUCUUCCGCAAUGGGCGAAAGCCUGACGGAGCAACGCCGCGUGAGUGAUGAAGGUCUUCGGAUCGUAAAACUCUGUUAUUAGGGAAGAACAUAUGUGUAAGUAACUGUGCACAUCUUGACGGUACCUAAUCAGAAAGCCACGGCUAACUACGUG